rnacentral:misc_RNA from 1 species
AGAUGAGACAAAGAGGGGUGUUGAAGUUAAAGUCGCUUUACGAUGUAAUAAUAAUAAUAUAUAUUCAAGUGUUGACAGUGGACGUGCUUUGACUGGUUGUUAGGUAGAUUUAAAUUUAAAGAGUUUUACAAGAUCAGUGAAAGAAGGUCAUCUAUCUGAAACCAAUACAUUUAAACCUGAUCAGUUGUUCCCUCAUUUCAAUGGGGAACUCCAAGUCAAAGUCACAGCUAUCUGAACAAUAUUUGUCUGCUCCAAUGUCUGCAUCACGAAGUUUUGCAAUAACACCAUAUUAUGGAUCUGUAAAUUCUGUUGCUGGAUCUGAACUUUUAGACAAUAUUGCUCUUCGUGAAGGAAGCUCAUUUAGUGGUCAUGUAUCACCAGUUCGUCGAUUUUUUCUACUGCUUACAACAUUUGAUUUUGUUUUCAAUGUUCUUUUAUGGCUUAUCUGUGGAAUGUUAACUGGUGAAGGUGUUGAAAAUGCCUUCAAGAAGGAAGUUAUGAAUUACUCCUUUGAAAAAUCUCUAUUUGAUAUUGUUAUGGCAUCAGCAUGGAGAUUUACCCUUAUUUUGCUUGCCUACGGACUCUUCAGAAUAUCUCAUUGGUGGAUGAUAGCAAUAACCACAACCACCACCGGCAUUUUUGUCAUAUGUAAGGUAUUUUUCUACCAGUGGGAUGCAUCAAACCAAAGUCAAACACCAUAUUCUGCAGUUGUGGUCUUGUUGAUUGCUUCCUUUGUUAUGUCCUGGGUAGAAGCAUGGUUUCUAGACUUCAGGGUAGUGCCCAGUGAAGAGAAAGCAUCAGUAUUGCUUGCCAGGUGUGUGAAUGAACACACACCAUUUAUUCCACCAUAUGGAUCAGUACCUCGUGCCUUCAGUGAAGAUGGUACUUUUUAUUCACCACCAGGUAGUACAGUAGGAGACUUAGAAGAAGAAGAAGUAGUAGAAGAAUGUGAAGCAGAACCUCCGUGUAUUCCAUUUACAGAACUUACACCUCAGGAAGUUGAAUACAAAACAAAAGUAGAGGAAGCCAUAAAAGAGGCUUUAGAGAUUAUUACAACUGGAAAUUGGAGGACGGAGAAGCUUAUAGAUGAAGAUAUUAUCCAGAGUCGAGAAAUUUCAAAGUACGGUAAAAUCUUCAAGUUUGUGGGCAAAAUAAAGAUAACACCUCAGAAAGUGGUUGAAGAACUUUUCUAUAAUAUUGAGAACGUGCCAAAUUGGAACCCUACAACUAAAACAAUCAAGGUUCUUCAGAAAAUUGACAAUCAGACAGAUAUUAUCUACAUUGUUGCAGAUGGAGUUGGAGGCAUCAUCACUAGCAGGGAUUUUGUUGCAGUUAGAAUGUUGCAGUAUCGAGGUGGUUCUAUUAUCAAUGGUAUGGUCUCUAUAACACAUCCUGCUAUGCCUCCACAAGCCAAGUAUGUUAGAGGGGAACAGGGGCCAAGUGUUUAUGUAUUCACUCCAGUCGAUGGAAGCAAUAACAGAUGUCACCUACAGUGGCUAUCAAAUACUAAUCUAAAGGGUUGGCUUCCUCAGUAUUUGAUUGACCAGACUAUGGCAUCUGUAAUGCUUGAUUACAUCAAACAUUUACGAAGUUUUGCGAAAAACCUGAAUGUAACGAACAAUGGUGAAGAGUGAAUAGAAGAAAAAUUUCUGUGAUAUUGAAUUCAAGGAACAUCUCCAUCUAAUUGUGUGCUACUAGUAAAUAAAUUCGUUAGACAUGCAGGAAAAACGUUAUUGCAUAAGAAUAGCUGAGAAACCAUAUACAUAGAAGUGAUUUACUUAGUAUUGAUGCAGGGAUCUCAGGAAUGCACAAAGAAUAGGAUACAAAAUAUUCAGUAAUUUUGUGUCUAAGAUUUAGAAUGUAAAAACUUUUAAAGAAUAAGUGAAUUAGGUGAUAAUCAUAAUUUUCUAAAAAAAUUUUAUAUUGUAAAAAUCUGAGUGUGGCAUUGUCUUGGAUCGUUUCAAAAGUGAAUAUUCUGUGUAUACAAAGGAGUGAAAGUUAACCUGCUCUUCAGGUAUAAAAGAAAGAAAAAACUAUUGUAAUCCACCAGAUAUCUUACUGGUAGGAACAAAAUGAGACAUUUAUAAAAGAAAUAAAUAUUUUUCCUUAGACCAAGGACUCAUAAGCAUGUUGGCAAAGUUGUGAAGUUAACUGAUUUCUACCAUAAAAAAUUCUUUAUUGUUUCAGAAUAAUUUUUGAGGUUUUGAACUGUAUUUUUAAACAAUCAAUUCAAUGUGUUGUGUUCUCUUUGAUCUUAAUCCACCAUCCUAUAACUUGUAAGCCUUAUGUGAGCCUGGAUUUAUGUCUUUAUUAUUCAGAGUCUAGGACUUCAUGUGGUAGCAUGCUUUUGUAUGUAGGUUAAGGUGAAUUAUGUUGUAAAAUAUUUCAAAUCUGUGAUUAAAAUGUACUUCAUAUACAUUUUGAAGAACUAAUCCCUUUUUUUUUUUUCCUACACCAUAUUAACGUUUUCAUGUUUUGUUUAGAUUGGCGGAGAUUAUUUUUUAUUCCAAACAAUAAACUGCUCCUCCCGCAACAAAGUGUUUAAAUAAAUUGUAUGUUAGAAAUUUAUUGUGUUAUUAAAUUUAUACAUGCUUUUUAGGGUUACAAUGAUCAUUAAAAAACAUAUUCAAUCAAUCUGCCAUAUUGGCAGGAAAAAACUCAUUACAUAUUAAGAAUUUCUUAUAGAUAGUGUAUAUCAAAAAAAUUGGGUUUGAAUUUUUUUUUAAUUUUGUUACUUGAUUACACUAUA